CCACUAGGCAGCUUUAGGCAGCUGCCUAUGGGCGGCGACCACUGGAGGGCGGCACCGCACAGUGAAUGAAAGAGAGAACGCUUCAGCUCAGCUAAACUCCUCCGUGCUGCCACAGACAGUGAAGUGAACAUUCCAGGAGCCAGAACAUUGGACACAGGAGGCCGGGGACAUUGGAACUGUCGCUGCUGCUACUACUACUUCAGGAGCUGAUGGAGCUCGAGGAGGAGCGCGGGGGCGGCACCUUCACCCAGGCAGGAAAGGGCUUUCCUAACCGUCGGCUGAUCUGUCCCCCUCACAGCCAGCUCUGACCAGCGGCGGCAACAAGGAGUCCAAGGCCGGAAAAACCACUGCCCCAUGCACAAGUGGGUCUUCAAGGGCGACAUCCCUUAUCUGUAGCCACAGCAUCAGUCUGAACAGAAAGGCAACCACGGUCA